CCCCUGCUAGAACCUCCAAACAAGCUCAAGGUCCAUUUGUAGGAGAACGUAGGGUAGUCAAGCUUCCAAGACUGCAGACACAUCCAAGUGAGGCGCUGCGCGUGGCAGUUUGCCAUUGUUU
rnacentral:snRNA from 1 species